CAGAGUAGUUAGCUAACCGCAAGGGGGGCGAUUACCACGGCAGGGUUCAUGACUGGGGUGAAGUCGUAACAAGGUAGCCGUAUCGGAAGGUGCGGCUGGAUCACCUCCUUUA
rnacentral:rRNA from 1 species